GCAUCUAUAGCUCAGUAGGUAGAGCGCAUCCUUGGUAAGGAUGAGGUCACCAGUUCAACUCUGGUUAGAUGCUCCA
rnacentral:tRNA from 1 species